rnacentral:rRNA from 1 species
GACAGAGGUGCCGAGCGUUAGGCGGAAUCACUGGGCUUAAAGCGUGUGUAGGUGGAUGCCUAAGUACCUUGUGAAAUCCCAUGGCUCAACCAUGGAACUGCUUGGUAUACUGCUUUUCUUGAGCCACUUAGGGGCUGUCGGAACAAACGGUGGAGCGGUGAAAUGCGUAGAUAUCGUUUGGAACGCCAACGGUGAAAACAGACAGCUGGGAGUGUGCUGACGCUGAGACACGAAAGCCAGGGGAGCGAACGGG